UCCUACUCAGCUCUGCACGAUGGAGCCCAGUGUGGAGGGAAGUGUAAACGAGGGCAGCUCAGAAUCCUUUCCUGCCAGCUUCAUGUGCUAGCUUUUGAGCUGAGGAAGCAUGCUCUGUGUUUCUGAGGUGUUCCCUUCUGUUUUAAAAAGAAGGGCUGCAAGGUGACAUUUUUCCUGUGGCUUGCAGCUGUGCUCCUUGGCACAGACCUUUGUUUCCAUGUGGCAGACUGUUUUGCAGUCUGUGGGUGUCCCAACUUCAGACAUGCAUCUUCUAGACUGACAACUGUUCUAAGGAGGAAAGAAAGAAAGUGGUUUAAUCAGAACGACAUUUGAGUGUUAACACAGUGAGGUGAACGAGGGCCCCAGAAGCAAACUUGGUGCUGUUGAAGCACUGUCCGAUGACAAGGUUGAAGGUAACACCUGCUGGCAGAUGUGGAAAACACCUCUGGAUUGUGGUGAGGAGAAAAUGAAACACAAUGACUGAGCUGCCUGCAAAGAGCUUCUGGUGGAAGCUUGGUAGCAACUUGGAACUAGAUCUGAUCAACUUCUUGUGUGCUGACGUCCAGCCAGGCACUAGGGAUGAGUCUGCAUAGCAGGGUAUGUGUGGCAGGACUGAGGCUUGGGGAGCAGGCCAGGUGGAAUCCAGUGCGCUUUGCUCUUGUUCUCAGUGUUUGUUUUUGCUCAGGUGGGCAGGUGGUGAAGCUCAUGAAGCAAUGCCUGCAGAUGGGGUUUGCGGAGCAAGAGGUCCUGCAGGCCUUGUGUGACACGCAUGGAGCUGUAGCGGGGCUGCAUCAGUGUAAAACAGCAGAAAUGCACGGAGGUGUGAAGGUGAGCUGUGGGCUCCAGUAGUGCAGGAGGGGAUGUGCGUGCUCAGGGUUUGGCUGCUUCUGUGUGUGUGUUUUAAGUGAGUGUGAUGCCACUGCUUGGUCUGUUUGAGUGUAUGGAACAAGUGUGCCAUCCUUUGUG
ensembl:lncRNA